rnacentral:misc_RNA from 1 species
UGCUUUCUUGGUUCUUAAUUUUGCCACGCAUACCAACCAGGUCACUUAUCUGUGAUGAUCCUGACUAAAGUAACGGUAUAAGAGAGAGAUGCAAAUGACCAAAGGAACAGCGCCGAUACGAAUCCCCCCCAUACACACCACCUGAACGAAUAAAAUGAAAACUUUCGAAAACUGUAAAAGAAUUUUUUUUUUUUGAUAAACCAAAAAUACUGUGGAACAAGUCUUCUGACAAAUACGAUCACAAUUUGACACUAGAACACAAAUGAAGACGAUUAAAUAAAGGUACUAACAAAAGAGCAACGCAAAUUUAUACAGCAUUAACAAAGUACUAACGACAAGAACGUCGUUUGAAUGCAUUCAUAGAUACAACCACAGCCAUAGUAUGUCAACAAAGAUGUUGCAUCUUUACUUUGGAAAUAUAUUUAGGAAUGAUCAAGGUGAAUGUUUACAUAACUCAGCACCGCAAAAGCUAAACAGAGUAUUUCAUCACAACUUACGAAGCUUUUCUAUGCAGUGAAUGACAUGAUAUGUCCAUUGAUAAGGAACAGACCAUAAUGAAGUGUAUGCCUCUCUUGAAAAUAUAAUUCGACCAGAUGAUUGGAUUGUUGAACAGGGAGCAGAAAAAGUCAGCUAUUGUACAUGUGUAACAGUAUGAGGGAGGAAGCCCGGUUAUUAAACUUGCAGAAAAGAGUGCAGAAAUCCCAAUUGUUAAACAUGUGGAAGAGGGGCAUAAAACCCAGCUAUUAAAUGUGUGGCACUAUGAUAACUUCACGCUAAGUGAAACAAGAAAGUCGGAGAAAGAGGGGAAAUGGGCAACAACAACAACAACAACAACAGAUCACAGAAUCUGUUGCUUCCGGAACACUUCCGCGGAUCGCAGAAAAGAAAUGAGUGGAGCCAUUGUCUAGAGCUAAUUAGUACUAGCUUUUGAUUUGCGUCUA